GAUGAACGCUGGCGGCGUGCCUAAUACAUGCAAGUCGAGCGAACGGACGAGAAGCUUGCUUCUCUGAUGUUAGCGGCGGACGGGUGAGUAACACGUGGAUAACCUACCUAUAAGACUGGGAUAACUUCGGGAAACCGGAGCUAAUACCGGAUAAUAUUUUGAACCGCAUGGUUCAAAAGUGAAAGACGGUUUUGCUGUCACUUAUAGAUGGAUCCGCGCUGCAUUAGCUAGUUGGUAAGGUAACGGCUUACCAAGGCAACGAUGCAUAGCCGACCUGAGAGGAUGAUCAGCCACACUGGAACUGAGACACGGUCCAGACUCCUACGGGAGGCAGCAGUAGGGAAUCUUCCACAAUGGGCGAAAGCCUGACGGAGCAACGCCGCGUGAGUGAUGAAGGUCUUCGGAUCGUAAAACUCUGUUAUUAGGGAAGAACAUAUGUGUAAGUAACUGUGCACAUCUUGACGGUACCUAAUCAGAAAGCCACGGCUAACUACGUG
rnacentral:rRNA from 1 species